UUGAUUUYAUCAAUAAUAAGUCUYCAUCAAGUUAGGUUUAUUUUUAAACUCAAUCUGACUAGUUUAACAAGAAAUUAAAUGUAUUCAGUCCCUGAGGUUAUGAAUGUGCUUUUAAUUUGCUUCCAAAGUUGCUACUAAGUUACUUCAGCAUUUUCAAUGAGACACUACUUCCAAGGAUCUGGCAGAGGAGAUGGAUAUUGCUUGUUAGMACUGGUGUAAUUAACCUGUAGCCAUUUCUGGUGUCUUCUGUAGCUUUGUACCAAAAAUAWCCAGUUGGAUCCCCCUUUGGUUCUCCUCCAGUGUCUGCUGCCCUUCUGUGUUUCUUCUUGACUGCACAGCUUGGAUCCAUGCAGCCUUCCUGCCAUCAAACACUGUGCUGUUCCAGUGGAGCAUAUAUUAGUUCUCUGGUUCUUCCUCUUAAUCUUUGUGUCUGUAGAUAACUUUCUGAACCUUACAGAAUGUUUGAUGUUCUUUGACAGAGGGAGUGUGUAACUGCAUGUCCCUCUCCAGCAGCAGAAAGGAGGURACAGUGGCUUCAGUCUGUGAACUGACUGUGAGUGAAAGGGAGAGAUGUGCCCACACCCACAUGGACCUGCUGCAGCGAAGAGGACAUUUUGCUCAUUCCUUCAUUUCUCCUCAUUCUUCUGUGGCCUAGAAAAUUUGACUUCCUCUUCUCCAGUGUCUGAGCACCUGUAUCCUUUCUUGGUCUACUUGGUCUCAAUUCGUAAUCCCUGAAUUGAUGAUGUGAUUCUGUCAGAGAUGUCAGAGAUAUGGAUUUGGCAGUGGAGUGUUAAAAUGAUGUCACUGAAUUUGAACAGCAGCAAACCUGAGGCCCAAGCAGARAAAUAUGCAGUCUUUCUCGAGACAUGUUGAGACAUCCCCUUGCAGCUGUAAUGGGUUAUCAGCACAACAUCUCCACCCUUUCACCAGAUGCAACUUUGUCUUCAGACUUCAGCURUAUAUCAUCUGAUCUCAGCUGGUGUCAAAAGACCCAGGAGCUCUCUGCCUGUCUGCUGGGAACGUUGAUCCACUCACCACAACUAUGUACAAGAUGUGAAGCCUUUCCUUUCCUUGCGCUCUCUUUCUCUCUCUCUUAAAAAAAAAAAAAAAAAAAAAAAAAAAAAAGCAAGCUGUCAGUAUUUCAGAAAGUGUGAGGUGUGAGCAGCAGAUCUUUGUGUACUUUAAUCCAUAAAUAAACAUUUCUUCUUUUGAACUUCAUUAAAAUUGGAUGUGUUUUCACUGUAAAACACUUCAGCACCCCUAUCAUUUAGACAUAUAUGGUGAUGAAUAUUGCAAUUAAGUUUUGUCUGUAGGAAUAAUUGUGGUCUGGAAAUACUCAAUUUAUGCCAAAAAAGUAAAUAAGAAUCAGACUACAAGAUAUACUGCUUAUAACAGUAAUUUAAGAACAAGAUAUUAAACUAUGCUCCCGCUGUUUUUAACAGGCUGGGCCAUACACAUCUUUGUUUUUGUGACCAAGCUUGCAGGGAAGUUGUGGAGAGGUGAGUUUGAUUUGACUUCAGCACAAUUAUAUCUGACUUUCUUCUGGUAAGACUUGUUGAUGUAUCACAUUCAAAUCUCCAGCUUUGCCUUCUCUGCAUUUGACCUGAAGAAAGGAAUUCCUGCUUUAAAAUGCUCAUCAAUCAGUGCUGCGCRGUUAAGCUGAUAACAAAGCUAAGGCUAAGCCAGUGCUAAUUUAGCCAACUGUUACAUUACUGACAAUAUUUGUCAGCAAAUGAUUUUAAUUAGACCAGCAUAAGGAGAUAAGUAGGCUAAAACUAAGCAAAUGACUAAAACUAAMGAGGGAUUCUGAUGACAAACAAGUCCUGAUGAGAGUAAGAAUGAUUUUUUUUCUUUUURCCACCAAUGUCUGAGUAGCACGUGGGAACGGAGAGACGGCACUAAUCACAUGAGAAAUCGCCUUAAAAUGAUGCUGCUGYGCUGGAAUGCUGAGUCGGUGUCAGGAAGGCUCGCAGGGUUUGAGCAAGUGCUGUGUAAACUUCCUGGGGAGCCUUGCAUGCCGGUGACACGGUGACAUGGUGACACUGUCCCCCUGCCCCGGCCGGGCUCCUUUGUGCCCUGCCUUUGGUGCCUUGCCUGGAACAGCACAGGGAAACCUUGUGUAAGGGUAAAGUGAAGAGGCAGCAGCACUUGGGCUGCGAGGUGAUACAGGGGAAGGGUGUGGAAAAGGACCUACUGAAAUUUGUGGCYGUAAUUAAGAACAGGUAGGGGGAAAAAAUGGGAUGAGAAGGCAGGAAAAAAUGUGGUAUUUCUUUCAGGAAAGAAGUAAGAAUGGAGAGGCAAAAAGAAAAGCAUUGUUUUGUGUUUGAACAUGGAAAAAACAAGUUCGGGGUGCAUAACCUGCUGCUCUACUCAUCUCUUUCUCUCCCUACAUAGCUUCUUUGUUCUGAUUUCUCGUGGAGUAUUCCUGCUCCUGUGUUAUUUCCCCCUGCCUGCCCAGGGUCUUCCUGAGACCUGCUGGCAGAGGGAGGUUUUCACAGCCUGACGUGUUGAUUCUGAGAAGUGUGAAGGAAACAGAGCCGUGCUGGAUGAUGUGACUCACCUUGGAGAGGUUGCUGUUUUCCGGCUGAGGGAAAGUGUGAAGUUUCAGCUUUGCUAGUCCAGAUGUUUUAAUGGAAAUUGCUGCAGUAAGAGAAACCCUGGCCUGCGUGUCUUGCUCAGUCCUGAACAGGAGAAUAACAAAUUACAUACUAACAUAAAUCUUUAAUGAUUUAUGAUAAAAAAACCAAAUUAGAUGGCGAGCAAAAUACUAGGUUAAUUGACUAUGGGUUCCUAAGUUCCCCAAAAGGUAGCAUUCCAGCCAAAUAUGGCUGAAAUAUCAGCUGUCAUAUGAUGAAUAUUUUAAAGAAGAUUCUAUUAUACACCUAGGGGUUGAUUCGCUCCAGUAAUGAGGACAGUUACCUCUAGGGAAAGGAAGCUCUAUUAUGCUUGCCACUUAACCAGGGGCUGGUUUGACAGGCAUCAGCUCAGAAUAUAUGUGUAUAUAUAGGGAAUCACAGCAGCUUGUCUCAAGCUUACUGAGCAGGAAAUGUUGUGCUGUACAAUACUCUGGGUUUCUAUCUAUGGAUUUGUGGAUGGCACUGAGUGGGAUUCAGACUAUUUUUAUUCCUGAAUCUGAUUGUUGAGGUGGAAUCCAUCACCUACUAAAUAUUAAAUCAGCAGGUUUUUUAAAGAGCAACACUGUCUCUGCUGACUUGAAUAUCCUUAUGUGGCCCAGAGGAAAAGAGAAACAAAGACAAGAUGAGAAAACUAUCAUCUUUGGCAUUCUUCUUAAUAUUAAUGAUUUCUCUAAAGUUUUCAAACUGUUGAAGGCAAAAAGUGAGAUAGAACUUUCACAUGGGUAAGAAAUGACCCAGGUGAAAAAAAAGCAUGCAUUAUAAAAGCCAUGGUGAAAAUUCUGGAGUUGAAUUAUUUGUUGGAAGAGGUGGAGAAAAUGUAUCAACAGAUUAUUUUUUAAACAAGUUUUGUUUAAUUGCUUCCAAACAAACAUAGCUGGGAAUUAUUAGGAAUGUGUCAAUUCAAAAUUACUUGAACAAAUUMAUGUGGAUGCAAUUUAUGUCAGAUUUCACUCUGAGUGUGGUUUCUGAAACCCAGUGUCUGCUAAUGCUGAAGUUUUGAGAUAACUACCCAACUUACAUGCUGUUGUUCAUCUUACCAGACAAACUGGAAUUGUUAACAGCUCCUUCAUGUUUUUCUUUUUAAAGUUGCRCUUCAUAGGCAAUAUCCAAAGACACCAAUCUGUGGGGUUUCUGAAUGAGUAGUUCUAACAUACCCAUGGUUGCCUCUAUGCACACUCAUCAUGCACCACUGCACAAAUAAAAGCCCAUCUCUGUCACUCUUAAAGGAUGCUUUAAGCCCUCUAAGGAUUUAAUUUAGGAUUUUAAAAAUCYCUUUUCUGAUAAUCAGCAGGUAAGUGAUAAAACAAAUGCACAACAAAUGAUGUCAUAUUUUUUUGGUUUUGCAGUUUGUAAAGUAGUCACAUUUCAGUUCCAGAUAUCAAAAUGAAUAAUUGUUACACCAAUCUUCUAAAUGCAGGAAGAUUCUUAAAGAGUUUCUAGUUGCUUACUGCUAAGAUGGAAGCUCACUUCUAAUGUCACAUUUUUAAGGUCUCAGAUAACAUACGAAAAUGUCCUGGAUGUCCUGACAUUUAAACAGCAAAUCCCAUGCCAUCCUAUGGUAGGAGAAUUCCAGCCCUUUGCUUAAUUUCAAAUAAUUCUCUGUGUUUGACCAGAUGAAUUACCUAGGUUUCUGAAUACAAAUGAUUUAUUCUGAURCUCUUUGUUGGCUAAACUGACCUUUCAAUGCAAAAAAUGGGACAAAAUGAAAGUAUUCAUUAAGUUGGUGGCUUUGCAUAUUUCACAUGCAUUUUUUAAGAUGAUGUUACAUAUUUAUCAGUUUGUCUUAGUCACAGACUUGUUGCUGUGAAUGCUCUGUACAUAUGUGGAUAUCUGAGCUGCUUUGUAGGGGAGGUAAGGAAAAAAGGAAAAAUCUAAUAUGAAAUGGAGAGGGAAUAAGUGAGAUGAGGAGUUAGGAGUUGUAUAGUUCCCAUUUAUGCACAUGAUUCUUUAGAGGUURUAGGGUUUCCUUUCCCAGUGUAACUUGGUAUGCACUGGGAGUUUUGAUCAAAUGUUGAUGUUAUGUAAAACCCAGCAGUUAUUAUUUUUCAUCUUGAGAUAUGGGUUGAAUAAUCUUAAAUUGUUCAGGGAUUACAAACAUCUUUGUCAUCCUAUCAGUUAAUUCAUUGUCUACAUUGGUUUUAAUUGUGUGUGAAAAAGACAAUAUUUGAAU